rnacentral:rRNA from 1 species
UACGUAGGGUGCAAGCGUUGUCCGGAAUUAUUGGGCGUAAAGAGCUCGUAGGCGGUCUGUCGCGUCUGCUGUGAAAACUCGGGGCUUAACCCCGGGCCUGCAGUGGGUACGGGCAGACUAGAGUGCGGUAGGGGAGACUGGAAUUCCUGGUGUAGCGGUGAAAUGCGCAGAUAUCUGGAGGAAUACCGGUGGCGAAGGCGGCAUCCUGGACCGACAUUGACGCUGAGGAGCGAAAGCUAGGGGAGCAAACGGG